rnacentral:rRNA from 1 species
AAGACCUUGCGCUUUUGGAGCGGCCGAUGCCUGAUUAGCUUGUUGGUAAGGUAAAAGCUUACCAAGGCUUCGAUCAGUAGCUGGUCUGAGAGGACGACCAGCCACACUGGGACUGAGACACGGCCCAGACUCCUACGGGAGGCAGCAGUGGGGAAUUUUGGACAAUGGGGGCAACCCUGAUCCAGCCAUGCCGCGUGAGUGAAGAAGGUCUUCGGGUUGUAAAGCUCUUUCAGCCGGAACGAAACGGUUACGGUUAGCACCCGUGACUACUGACGGUACCGGAAGAAGAAGCACCGGCUAACUACGUGCCAGCAGCCGCGGUAAUACGUAGGGUGCGAGCGUUAAUCGGAAUUACUGGGCGUAAAGCGUGCGCAGGUGGUUUUGUAAGUCAGAUGUGAAAGCCCCGGGCUCAACCUGGGAACU